UCUGAGAGAUGGAGAGAGGUGAGGAAGGGGCUGGGUGGCCCCACAAAGCCUCCCCGGCCACCUGCUCACAUCCCUCGGGCAGCAAGGGCUCUGGAAGGGCCACCCCAGCUGGAAUGUCAUUGAGAAGUCUCUGCUGGGGCCUCUGCCACCCGGGGAUGGGCACUGGCCUCCACUGCAGAGCCUCUUCCUUCUACGUGAGGCUGCAGCUUCUGCACAGCACCUGGCUCUGACUUGGGUCUCCCUGAUUUCCUACUAAGAGCCUUCACCCCCUUCCCCGUUGAGGCCAGUUCCCCCAGAAAGGGCUGUUUGGGGGCUACCCAUCCCCAGCCCCUGACCCUUGGGCAUCCUGGCCUGGUCCUGUCUGCACUGCUCUGGCACAGGGGAGUGUAACUGGUCUGGGUGGGUGGGGGGCUGCCCAUGGAGACCCCAGCCCUGGGAGGAGUGUGGCCCCUUGGCAGGCUCAGGGUCCAGUCUUUGCCCCCUUUUCAGGACAAGCUCGGAGCUGGGACCACGUGGUAUGGGCAUUGCUGCCCUGGGCAGUGGGCAGUGGGGCCUCCACAUUUUCCAGCAAGACAGUGGGGACUAGAGCUCACAGCAAAGAUGCUUCAGAGACGAGAUGGGCCAUUGACUCGGAUGUGGACAGACACGGGGCCCCCGACCCUGGGCUCCCAAGACAAGGACCUCCUGAAACAUAUGCCUGCCAGGGUCAGGGCUUGGGAUACCCGCAUGGCAACGUGGGGGUCGCGGCUCUUCCGCCAGGCGGAGGCACCAACACAGGCGCUUAAGAUCCAGGCCCGAGAUGCCAUGCAACGGGGUGAUUUUCCCGGCUCACCCACAGGUCCCAUGCCACAGGGUUCCCCAAACAUGGCGCCAGCCCCACACUGUCAGACCCAGUGCACUGUCACUCAGUUCCGUCUCAGGCCUGGGCACGGCCCCCCAGCGAGGUGACACAGAGACCAGGCCCUGGUUGCCACAGCUGCGGUCCCUCUGCUUCCUGGGACAGGCGGCCUCCGUGGCAGGCGGUGGUGAUGACUCAAGGAGCAACCAGCUCAGAGGAGGAGGGGGCUGCUGCCCUCGUGUCCCUGCAGCCAGGCUGGCCCACGGCGUGCUGGCUGGACACCAGAGAAGCGCACAGAAGAAGGCUGCCUGCCCCGGGCGGAGGAACCUGCUGGCCCAGACCAGACCCGGCAUCUCUGACCGUGGUCCCAUUAGGGACAAGGAAACCGUCCCACGGGCUGUGCUGGGAUGAGGACAGCGAGCUUGUCCCUAGAGGACCUGGCAGGGGUGAGGAGUGAGGUCUUCCAACUCCUCACAGUCGUGUGUGUGUGUGGAGGUGGGAAGGGCUGUGGGCCGAACCGUGUCCCCACAGAUUCCUAUGUGGAAGUCCUAACCCCAUGACCUCAGAAGGCGGCCUUAUUAGGAAUAGGGUGACGGCAGCUGGGACUAGGUAAGAUGAGGGCACAGGGCUGGGUGGCCAUUGACCAGCAGGCCUGGCUUCCUGUACAGAGUCACCCGUGCAGAGAUGAAGGCAGAGCCUGGGGGAUGCUUCUGAACCCAGGAACACAGAGGGUGGCCACAAAACCCCCCAGCCAGGAGAAGCUGAGCAGAGCCCUCUCGGAGCACAGGGAGCCGACCCUGUGGCCCCUCGGUCCUGCAUGUCCAGCCCCCCACGGCGGGAGGACAGGCUCUGUUUUUAAGCCACAGCCGGGAGAGGCUGAGCAGAGCCCCUCAGAGCACAG